rnacentral:rRNA from 1 species
UACGGGGGGGGCAAGCGUUGUUCGGAAUUACUGGGCGUAAAGGGCUCGUAGGCGGCCAACUAAGUCGGAUGUGAAAUCCCCAGGCUCAACUUGGGAACUGCAUCCGAUACUGGAUGGCUUGAAUUCGGGAGAGGGUAGUGGAAUUCCCGGUGUAGCAGUGAAAUGCGUAGAGAUCGGGAGGAACACCAGUGGCGAAGGCGGCUACCUGGACCAGCAUUGACACUCAAGCACGAAAGCGUGGGGAGCAAACAGG